rnacentral:rRNA from 1 species
UACAGAGGGGGCAAGCGUUGUUCGGAAUUACUGGGCGUAAAGGCGCGUAGGCGGCCUGCUAAGUCGAACGUGAAAUCCCUGGCUCAACCAGGAACUGCGUCCGAUACUGGUUGGCUUGAAUCCGGGAGAGGGAUGUGGAAUUCCAGGUGUAGCGGUGAAAUGCGUAGAUAUCUGGAGGAACACCGGUGGCGAAGGCGGCAUCCUGGACCGGUAUUGACGCUGAGGCGCGAAAGCCAGGGAGCAAAGCGG